CAAAACAAAACUAAAACAAAAAAACCAAAAAAGAUUGGUUAUAGUUAUAAUGUUGUGGUGAUCAUCCCAGUCUAACUUCCGAAAAGAGAGAAUGUCUUUUAUUUUAUGUGAAAUCCCUGGGAAAAAAAAAUUCAGAUGGGCUUUAGACCACAUAAUUUAAUAAUUAGAAACCGACUUUGGUAAUCAUUGCACAACUAUGAGAGAUGAGCAUUAAAACAGUCAAACAAGCUGGAAAAAUUGAGAGCUUCAGUUUGGGAGCCAUACUCCUUUUCACCUGCUCAGCAUCUCUCCAAGAAUUCCUAAUGUGUGCUCCAGAUUUUCUCCAAGUCAGGGGCUGUUCACAGCAACAGCACAUUUUCAAGUUCAUCAUAUCAGUGCUUAAUAACUUCCAUUUCAGGCUGUGGAUUCAGUCUUUGGAAAACAAAUGCAAAUUACCUAGAUGGCUGUACUUGGAGCCAGACAUCUGGACCGAUUCCUCUCUCCAGAUCUUUCUUACUAAGGUAGGAAUCUGUCAGCUAUUCCAAUGACAAAGAUGGUUCUCAUCACUGUCAAGAAUAGCUGGAGCUGAGCAAAACAAUUGCAUGUGCAGAUAAAUAAAAUAAUUUUAUUUGGAAAAGACAUCUGAGACCAUUUAGUGCAGCCAUAAACCUAACACUACCGAGUCCACAGCUAAACCAAAUUCCUAAGCAUUCUAUCUACACACCUUUUAAAUACCUCCAUGAAUGGUGACUCAACCACCUCCCUAGGCAAACUGUUUUCUUGAAGAAAUAUCCAAUCUAAACCUCCCCUGGUAUAACGUGAGACCAUUUUCUCUCAUCACUUGUUACUUGAGACAAGAGAAUGAUGCUCACCUGCCUGCAACCUCCUUUCAGGUAGUUGUAGAGAGCAAUAAGGUCUUCCCUGAGCCUUCUUUUCCUGGGUUAAAUACCUCCAGCUUCUUCAGCCACCCCUCACAGAACUUGUUCUCCAGAUCCUCUGCCAGCUUUGUUGCCUUUCUCCGCACACACUCCAACACCUCAAUGGCUUUCUUGUAGUGAAUAGAAAUAUUUAAGCAAAGUGAUUGUCCUGGUGUCAAUGGUUGGUAGAAGGAGGAGAUGGGCAACUUGCUGUCAAAAAUUGCAAGUUUUUUGUCUAGAUCUGUUUUCAGAUUUGGCUGAACAUGAAGCUGCAUGAACACUGCAUCCAGGUGAUGAGAAGAACUGACAGAAGCCAUUGUUCCUUUUUGGCAAAAGUCAACUUUCAUCAGGUUAUAAAGCCUGUGCAGUCAUGCAUGUGGAGACCAGUGCAAGGAGAGCAGAGAAGUCUUAAUCUUGUCUUUGAAACCCUACUUCAAGGAAACCUGGAAAAAAGAGGAUCAUACCAAAACAUACACUGGCAUGAAGUUUUUUCUGGAACUAAACCUGUGAAACUGUUUUGAAAUGCCUUGUUCAACAAAUGUACUGCAUGCAUGUGUAAUAUAAGUGGAUGUAAGGAACCUGGUAGGUAAUUUGCCUUCUGUAUAGAAGCAGAGAUAUCUGCUGAUCAAGUGCAUAGCAUUUUCCCUUCCCUUUCCCCAUAUAUUUUAUUUCUAUAUGUGGCAAGAGACAGGCUCACCAACUACUUUCCUGAAGCAAAAUAGAACUAAAAGACCUCCAAGUUACAAAGUCAGCUUGUGCUCCUAAAUAUCCAGCAUUUUGCCUAUACUGAGUUAUCAAUCUACAUGAUCUUGGGUACAAAGAAAUUGGUAUCUGAGUGCUAACAAAUGUAGAAGUGCCUGACAGGAAAGACAGAAAUAUUUCACUGCAAUUGUUGUUCAGUUUUGUAUUAAUUAACUAGAAAGAUAUCUCAAAAAUUUUUGCAACUUAUUGGCAAGUAUAUUCCCAUAUUGCAAAGACAUUAAUAGGUUAUUUUUUUUUCACUUGUCAAAGGCUUAAGUGUAACAACUUGCACCUUCAGAUUUUGAAAUCCUAGUGAGCCUGGAGAGGCAGAGUAACUCAGAUGUUAUAUUCCUGCCAAAUUCACUUGUCAUAAAGCCAAAUGGGUUCUUAAUGCUAAAAAUUAUUUGCAAGGAUGAUGAAAGUGCACCUGACUUCAUGACCCCUAUUCCAAAGCCCUUCUUAUUGCCACCUGUACUUUGCACUGCACACUUCAUGUAAACUGGGCUGUCAGUCUGGUUUUUUGUGCCCUUUAUGAAAGUCCUUGCUGUGCUGGGUUCUUUGGGUCACUCCCUUAAGUAUGGUGAUUUUCAAGUCAAUCUCCCAUUUGUGCUAUUGCUGCUGAUGGGGAAUCUGCUGUCAUGCUUUUACUGCCUUCUUCUCAUGUUAACCUUUUAUAGUCCUAUCAACCCUAUUUCUUUUUACCCUCCUGUGUAGAGGUAGUUGAUGGCAAGAGCUUUUUUUUUCUUUCUAGUCCUAUCUUCAUAUUCUUUUGCAUGUAGCUUGUCUGCUUCUAUUACAUAGCUGUCUUCUAGAGUUUAGCUUCUUCUGCUAUCUUUAAUGUAUAACCAUUCCAAAUGACCUGCAUUCCAUUGCAACUUAAAUAUUAUACUGCUGGAUUAAGGGGCUUUAAUGAGUUCAUGGAAUCAUAUUGUCUUGUGCAUAAUUUAUUUUAAUUGGAAUCCCUGACAGGAGAUGCACACAGGGCAGCUCAUGUUGAUUUUUCUGUUGACUUUGAAGCCUCCAUUUGCAAUCUACUUAACUGUUCUUUUUUGCAUACAGCAGUGCUGAAGAAACUUAUAUACUGGUUAUAACCAAAAGGCCUUUUAAAUGUUGCACAUUUUAGGAAGGUGCAUUAAAAUAUUUCUAUGGAAAUUCAGAAAUAAUUUUCUAGAAUAGGAGAUUAUGCCAAAAUAUUUGAAGACUUGUUGGGUCAACCUCAACUUGUUAAUUUCAUAAAAUUGGUUCUCCAUUGGCCUGUAUAAAUCCUACACUGUUUUUAGAGCCAGCUCUAAAAUGUAUGUGUUACUACCUAAAUGCCCUCAUAGAUUCAGUUGCAAAUUACUGCUCAAAGGGAAAAGAGAAAAAGGCUCAUGAAGUAAAAUCAUUGUAUUGGGUACACCUGUUGGACUUCACUUGUAGAAAGCCAAAUUCAGUACUGUUUUGACCACAGAUUCAGAUACAGAUACUCAAAUAACAGUUGAAAAAGGAGAGGGACAGCUUAAAUUAGUAGCUAAAACUAUGAGAUACCAAGUAUUAAAUAACAGCAAAUAUUGCAAGUUAGGAUUGAGGUUCAAUAUCAGAAUAUGGGCUAUGACUGGAGUAGAUGUGCCACAGGGAUUAAGGAUAGAUGAAACUGUAGAGCAUUGGUAAGCAAGUCUAGAGAUACCAGAACUUGAUAAGCAGGAGGCAACAGGUGAGAACUGAAGCACUGCAGCAGAUGUAGGUAGAGGAAGAGCCUCUGGACCCCUGACCAGAAGACCAAAGGUUGCUGUGAGUUUGUUUAAGAUGCAUUAUUAGAAAGUAUAGUUUUGCAACACCUGCAAGUGAGAAGCACCAGCUACUAUAGCUUACCUUUAAAGCUUCAAAUUUAAGAGUUUUAAUCAAUCCUUUUUGAUUGAAGAGGAGGUGAUUUCAGUCUUAAAAUUGCUAAAGUGGUUGUUGUUGCUCUUGUCUAGUAGCAGAAAUGGAAUACAGAAUCUUGCAUGACCUUACUUCUUUUUUAUUAUUAUUUUUUUAUAUAAAGCUACCUAAAAAUAGAAAUAGAAAACCUAACUUUAGCUUUCACUGUCCCUGUUUGGAAAGUCUGGUCAAAGGCCUAUGGCAAAACUAUGCAAUAUCCUCUGAACUACAAUAGCUGUCUGUUAGAGUGCUCCUUUCUCUUACAGAGGGAAUACUUCAUACAUAGCUUACAUCUGCUCCAGUAUCCACAGACAGUAAAAUCAUCCAUAUAUUUUAUCUUAAAAACAAAAUUAGUAGUCAUUAAAUUCCCCUGUUUUAACAAUAAACCAAGAUGCAAGGUAUUUUGACAGAUGUGACAUUAACUACAUAUGAAAUAGUACCAUGUAGGCUUCUCUUUGGUGUCAUUCCAGAUGAAAACAUAUAGAAAAGGUUUUUAUUAUUAUUUUUAAAACACAUGAUUUUUAUCACAAACCUGGAUAAGGUUUUUCACCCUAAGAAAUUUAUAGAUGUCAGCUGAUGGACAACUACUCAUCACAUUAUUUUGUCAUGUUUGUUUGUAUUGGUUUUCUGUGAAUAAAAGAUACUCUAAGCAUCCUUGGGAAA